UACCUGCUGUAGCUCACAGUUACUCAGCACUGCAGAUAUGACGCCUCUGUUCUUCUCAGUGUUGCUGGCUGCUAUGAGCCUUGAAUGCAGAGCACAAAAAGACAACGUGCUGCAGCCAAAAGGAGAUGUGACAGCUACUGAAGGAGAGGCAGUAACACUUGGCUGUCAAUACGACACCAGUUCAUCAAAUCAUAAUCUCUUCUGGUACAAACAGGAUGGAAACAACAGUCCCAAAUUCAUCCUGAGCCGCUUUAACAUUGGCUCUGGGAAAACAGAGGACGAGGAGAGAUUUUCAUCCACACUGAAUUCCACCUCAAGAUCAGUUCCUCUGAAGAUCCAGAAGCUUCAUCUGUCAGACUCUGCUGUGUACUACUGUGCUCUGCAGCCCACAGUGACAGGAAACACCAAAACUCUGUACAAAAACCUUUGGAGCAAAGACAACACAAUACUGCACAACAUCCACUAG